rnacentral:lncRNA from 1 species
UAUUUUAGUAGUGAUGCAUUGUAUAGAUAGAGUUGGUCUCUUAACCCCUAGCUGAGUCUUGUAUCUGAUGUCAACAGGAAAGACAUGAAGGCUCGUGAUGUUUGGUAGAGCCAUCACUACAUGUUCCAUCAAUAUUGAACAUGAUUUCAUCGUUUAAACAACUCUUCAUUGUAGGUGUGUUUGGUUCUUGUAGACCAGGUUUCGAUAUUGUUGGCCUUCAUUUCGUCAUAUACAUUCAAAAUCUUUUUUUUACCUGCAAUUAAGACAUCACCCUAAAAUACAUCAGUUCUCCCACACAUAUCGUUUCUUUUGCCUCGGGAAAAGAUAAAUUGCAAACCGACAAAUUUACGAAAAAAUGGCACACAUAUACAUAAACAUGGUCACAUUAAUACGAGCACACGGGCAUCUCUAUUAAAUGUUUUCUCUCUCUCACUGGUUGCUACCAACAAUCAGACCCUCCCAUGUGCUGGUACUACGAUCCAUAAAUCUCAAUGAGACCUUGAGAUCUACCUAAAGGCCUAAAACCCCUACCUCAUACUUAAUACUCC